AACCAUAGAAACCUGCGGAGUACCUGCGGAAGGAUCAUUACACAAUACAAUAUGAAGGCUGUCCGCAGCUGGAGUAUUUUAUUACCCUUGUCUUUUGCGCACUUGUUGUUUCCUGGGCGGGUUCGCUCGCCACCAGGACCACCAAAUAAACCUUUUUUAUGCAGUUGCAAUCAGCGUCAGUACAAACAAUGUAGAUCAUUUACAACUUUUAACAAUGGAUCUCAGAUCGGAAGAGCACAC
rnacentral:misc_RNA from 1 species